rnacentral:rRNA from 1 species
UACGUAGGGUGCGAGCGUUGUUCGGAAUUACUGGGCGUAAAGCGUGCGCAGGCGGUUUGUUAAGUCUGUUGUGAAAUCCCCGAGCUCAACUUGGGAAUUGCAAUGGAUACUGGCAGGCUGGAGUAUGGUAGAGGAAGGUGGAAUUCCCGGUGUAGCAGUGAAAUGCGUAGAGAUCGGGAGGAACACCAGUGGCGAAGGCGGCCUUCUGGACCAAUACUGACGCUCAUGCACGAAAGCGUGGGGAGCAAACAGG